GGCGCGGCCCACGGGCCUUGCCGCGCGGUCCUGGGCCUGCAGCCUGCGCCUCGCCAGGCCCGCAGGGCGUGCGGCAGCUCGGCGGUUCUUUGUGUCCUCAGUCGCGUCCUCCCUGGCGCUCCACGCCCACGCCCCGGCUCCCGGCACCCCAACAAAAGGAACUGGCGAAGAGGCCACGGCGCACACGCUCGCACCUCUGUCGCCACCGCUGACAGCACCCCGGGCGCCCCGCCCGCCCCAGCGGCUCCGCACCCACGCCUGCACACGCACACUAAGGCCGCAGUGCAAAGUUGUGGGCUACGAGACAUGGAAGCACCCCACUUACCCGUGGGCUUGGUGGGCGCUCUUUCUCUGGCCCCAGAGGAAGAUGGAUGACCCGACCCGCACUGUGCUUUAUGCGUGGGCCUGGCGUUCAUAUCCUAGGAGUAAGCCACCCACCCAGGAUAAGGUUUCCCAGCAGUUUACCUCCCUGUCCAGAUAAAAAAAUGGAAGGAUGUUUGUAGAAUUUAACUAUGGGAUGUACUUAUGGUUAAGGAACUAUGCAUUGUUUGUUUGUUUGUACCAAUAAAGCCUUAUUUCUACGAUUUAGGAUUAAAGAAAGGUAACAUUCAGGUGAAAUUUUUGAUGGCUGUAUAUAUUUCUGUGGUUCUGGAUCUUUUUAGCUUGUUUCUAUUUGUAGAAGGUUUUUGGAUAUGUCGGAAAAGAAGCUUUUAUUAGCUUCCGGACCCCCACAAUGUUAAGGCUUUUGGGACACCCCCCCCCCAUUUAAAACUAACAUCUCAUUGCACCUCUGUCUUUGGCCAAGAUCAGGUGUAAAUGAGUUUUAUUUUGAGUUUUAAAACAUGGAUUUCAUUUUCUUCUUAAGAGAUAAAAGAAGUUCUUAGGGACUAUGGGUGCUCUUGGCAGACUAAUAUAAAUUCCAAUACUGAGUGUUUUUAAAAUCAGGACCUUCACCAGGUUGUUGAAAUUCUCUUGCAUGUUAGUCGUCUCUUGUGAAAAAAUGGCAGAUACUGGUAUCUAGCUUGUAGGAUUGUUGUGAAUUUUGAAUGGUCAUUUUUGUAUAAAGUGCUUAAUAGUGCAUUGUCCAUACUAUAACGUUUGUAAUUGGGAUUGGAAAGUAUGCCUUUUUUUUUUGUUUGUUUGUUUGUUUGUUUUUGGGUCUUAAGGCAUGCCAUUAAAGGACACAUUUUGUACAUUUCUUCCAAACAGAUCUAGAGUUCACCUUUCACUAAGUAAGUACACCUUUGAGGGUAAAGUAUGAAAUACAGGCGGUGCCUCUUUUCCGUGAAUGGAAAUCAGAUGAAACAGGACUAGCCUCAAGAAAGAAAAUAGACUCUGUUGUGGAAAAGAGCCUCAAACUCAGGUCGGGAGAAUCCUGGAAGUUACACAAUUAGGGCAGGGGAAUGAAGCCUGUGCUGUUGGAGGAGACAUUCAGGUGGACAUGCAGUGAUGAGUGAUUGACUGCCUGUGGGAAGAGAGGACGAGUGGGGCAGUGCAGCGUCCCUGCCACCGGCUUUCCAGCUGUGCAGCCAGCUGGAGGAUGGACUGAGUCUCAGGUCCCUGUGCACAGGGGGAGGGGCUUUAAGAAUGAGGAAUACGGUUGGAUGGAAGUGAGGAUUCAGAUUUAGACAUCUUGGCUUUGAGGGCUCACAUAGCGUUUAAAUGUAAAUGUAUUAGAUUUUUGGUACCAGCUUGAGGCAUGGGAGAGACUGGGGAUCUCGAAUUCAGAAUCAUCAGGAAGUAGAUUGUGAGUGAAGCCUGAGGAGCUGAUAGGAUUGUAUUGAAACCCAAGGACAGAAUGCUGAAUGCAAUUGGCAGUUAUCUAUUGCGAAUGAGUACUGUCCUCCUUACUGAGUAUCGUUAAAUAAUACUUCUGGAGAAAUGAGAGCUGUGCUUUUAAGUUUCCUGCCAGCAGAAACACGGCACAGUGUUUCUGGGGAUACUCUGGGUUGACAGCCUGGCCCCUGCUGCUCAUUGAAUAAACUUGAGCAAGUUACGUGAUUCCGUUUUUGUUUGUCCUAAAAAUGGUGACAACCCUAGAACUUUUCUCAUAGGGUUGCUAUGAGGUUAAAGAAACCAGUACCUCCAAAGUGCUCAGAAUAAAGCCUUGUGCUAUUUAGAAUAGCAGCUAUUUCAUUUUUGCAAUGUUUAUGAAACGAGGCUUAAGACCUUUUCUUCAGAGCAACAGUCUUUUCCAUAAUAUAUGCAUAUAUGAAAUUCACUGCUCUGUAAAAACCUACUGCUGUGUGAAACAUUAGGGGAAAAAAAAAGAUCAGGAUGGUCUGGAAGUCUUUAUAAAGAACCAUCUAGUCAGCUUUUUCUGGCUGAGCUAUUUUUUCAGCCUUUCCCAUGGAAGGCCAUUAUCCUUUUCAGGCUGGGAUGUGAUUUCAGAAAGUUCUUUCUUCUUCUUUACCUGAUUGGCUGGCUUACUUUAGCUCAGCUUUGUAAGGCCCCCUGCACUUUGCCCAUAUCAAGAAAUCACCUCUUCUCUAAUCUUUCUCCUUCUUGGGGACAAGGCUUGUACGUUUAUGAAGUUUUAACUGAUUUCUGAUUAACGAUGUAGGGUUUCAUUUGGAUCAUUUUGUCCUGUGACCAGAUAUUCAGUAAGAGGAUGGAUAUUGGUGUACAUUUUUACCAGGUUCGUAUCCUUAUAACCUAGAGAGGCACACAGUGGAGGACAGAAUAUUGGUUUUGGCCACAUUGCCCCGGUUGAAAGUCAGCCUACAUGUCUCGGUAGCUAGGCAGUUCUGAACAUUCCAUCGGACCUCGUUUGGGUUUCCAGAAGCCCCCACCCACACAGUGGGGGUGAGGAUUAAAUGGACGAACAUCCUUGAGGUCCUUGAAAGGGAGCAUGCAGGAAAUGGUAGCUGUUGCUGCGUCGCCAGGGUAUUACUUGCUAGUAGCAGUGCUGCUUUCCAGACGAGCGUUUAGACAGUGCUGGCAUUGCCCAGAUUGGCCUCAGACCCCGUCUUCUGAUUGUACUUGCCACACUUCCCCCCCCCCCCCCCCCCCCCGGAGCUGGGGACCGAACCCAGGGCCUUGUGCUUGCUAGGCAAGUGCUCUACCACUGAGCUAAAUCCCCAACCUCCACACUUUUUAUUUGUACUUUGGUGCAACACCUGUUUCACGGGAUCCCCAGGUGUCACUGUUAACGUCACAGCUUUUAUGCACACGUUCUUGUUUCCCCAUUUUUGAUUAGCUGUAGUUUUUGCCGGGAAGCAGAAAAUUAAGCUUUUGGUUUGUUUUUGUUGUGUUUUUUUGGGGGGUCAGGUGUGUGUUUGUUCGGUCAGGACCGAAUGUAGUGUUAUUUAAUGGCUUGAGCUUGAUGUCCUCUUACCUUUUAGUGAUUGUGACUGUGUGAACCAGUUUUCUUCAUAUGUUACCAGCUGUACCGUCCACUUUUCUCUGUGGACUCAGAUUUCCCUGAUCUUUCUUUAUUUUUCACCUUGUCCUUGAUAAUUCUUUUCCUUCAUUCCUCCCUUCCUUUUUUUUUUUUUUUUUUUUUUUGUUGUUGUGCUAGAAUUGAACCUGGCCAAUCCCUUACCCCACUAAUUGUUAGUGCUCAGUGCCUAGUUUCUUUGUACCUUCUAAGCCACAUGUUGGAGGGAGACCAGAACAGUUCAGUUUCCUUUUAUUACCAUCUUCCUUCACAAGAGAUUACUCCAGAUUCCCCUCUCCUGUUACAGAGACAGGGUCUCCCUGUGUAGCCAGGCUGGCUUCAGACUCUGGUCAUCCUGUCUUAGACACCGAUGUGCUAGGCACAUCUUGAAGCCUAUUUCUUACCACUUUCCUCAGAACCUUGGCUCUACACUUUGCCUUCCCAUUCUAACAUUUAUAUCCCUUUUAAGAGACCUUUCUUUUCUGUCAUAAGACUAAUGCCAGUGUCAGUUGUAAAACACAGACCUAUUGAGUUGUCUACACUCCUAGCUGCCACCAACUACGGGUGUUUCUAGUCCCUGUUCUCUCAGGUAUGUGCCAUCAUCAUGACUACUUCCUGCUUUGUCUCAGGAAUGGGUAGCUUUGUGUUUCUUUAACCCUUGACCCUUCCCUUUGCCUUAGCAUUGAUUUCAGGGGCUAUGCCCCUCUCCCAGUUUCUCAUCUUUGCCCCUCCAAUUCACCAUAAGUUAAGAGAAUGAACUUCAGUUACAAUAAUGAGUAAGCCUUUCAGUCUGAUUUUGGGAUAAGAAACAAAAAAGGCAAACAAUAAGAUACUGCUAGAUCAGGUCUUGACUGUUCAAGUCCGGUACCUUGUGGUCGCUUGACUGCCACCUCAGUGUGGCCUCAGUGCGGCCUCCAAGUAUGUGUCAACACUUCCCUAGGCAAUCACGGACCCAGGCUCUCUGCACUCUUACUCUCACGUGCUACAGGCUCCCUGCCACACAGCUUUCAAUAAGAGUACAGUUUUCUGUCAGAGGGAACUCCAAAGGUUUGCUUGUGUUUUAAGGUUCUCUGUAAUCUGAUCUCUCUCUUGUUGACUCAUUCUUUAGAUUACACCUUGUUCUCUGGUCAGAGGUGCUUUCACUGUACCCUACCAUUAACUAUUCCAUUGUUUUCAUUUGUAAUUUAUAUUCCUUUCAAACUUCCUCGAGAAAUAGCAAGUAUAAUUUAAAAAUUAAAAACCAAUGAGGCAGAUAGAGCUUACCCAUCCCCAGGUGCUCCCAGUGCACUGUGCGGAGGGGGAGGGACGGCCUGUACUUCCUGUUUUGGUCUUUUCAUCUGUGGAUGUAUUUCUAAGCAAUAGAGGUUUUCUUCUCUAAAGAAGGUAUUUGAAUCGUAUUAUGUUGCUUGUUUCCUUUAUUCUCUUUUGCUAAAAUUUAUAUUGUGAAGUUCAUUUUUUUUGUGGUUUUGUAGAGUUUUAUUGUGUAAGUAUGCCAUGACGCAGUUUCUGAUUUCUAGACAGUAUGUUUAUGCUGGGACCGUCGAUGCUUACGUUUCUCUAGAGCAGUGGUUCUCAACCUUCCUAAUGCUGCAACCCUUCCAUACAGUUCCUCGUGUUGUGGUGACCCCAACCGUAAGAUUAUUUCAUUUGUUACUUCAGAACUGUAUUUUUGCCACUUUUAUGAAUCAUAAUGCUAUGCAGGAUAUCUGCUGUGCCACGCCUGAGAACUACUGCUCCCGGGGAUGGUCAACUCUGGAAUUCCUGGCUGAAGUAUGCUGUCAUUUGUGGCAGUUUUACUUAUCAGGCUCAGGCGAGGCGAAGCUGUUCUUUAAAGUGAUUUUUGCCCUAUAACAGUGUUGCUUUAGACAUGAUUGCUGCUCCUUGGUGCUGCCCAGUUUUGCAGUAUAAUGCAAAUGUGUUGGAUUGUCAGUGUACUGGAUUCAUGAUGCUAGCUCACAGUAAAGUUUUAAUUUUUAUUUACUGAAUUAUUAAUGAAGCUGAACUCUGCUUUGUGUGUUUAUUGAUUAUUGAAAUGCCCUGUUUUGUAAAUUGCCUAGUUAAAUCUUUGUGGCCAUCCCCUCCCAUUUUUUUCCUUUGUGAUUUUGUGUAUUUCACAUACAGUCAAUGUAUUAAUCAUGUAUUAUUCGGAUGGUGCUUCCCCCACUAUGGCUUAUUUUUCAUCCUUUCUAGAGAAAGUUUUGAAAAGUUAGUUCAGUUUUAAGUUAGUGCUUACACUCUGUGGGUUUGCUAUGGCUAUUACUUUGCUUGUUUUUGUCUUUGCUGAGAGAUGUUUUCUUUUUUUUUUCCCUAAAAUUAAUGUAUUUUAUUUAUAUGAGUACAUUAUACACUGUAGCCAUCUUCAGAUCCCAUUACAGAUGGUUGUGAGCCACCAUGUGACUGCUGGGAAUUGAACUCAGGACCUCUGGAAGAGCAGUCAAUGCUCUUAACCACUGAGCCAUCUCUCCAGCCCUUUUUUUUCUUUACAUUUCUUCUCUUUUCUUUCUAGAAAUUCUUUUAGACUUCCUCCCCUAGAAACAGAGGCUAAGGAUGAGAAUUCAGGCUUUGUUUGGGAAAUAUAAUCCCAGGAACAAGAGAAAGUAGGGUGAGGCUCAGAAAGGUAAGAAGUGAUGGAAGGUGGAGGCACAUCUUCACAAAGACCUGGAGAGAGAGAGAGAGAGAGAGAGAGAGAGAGAGAGAGAGAGAGAGAGAGAGCGAGAGCGAGAGCGCGAGACCGAGCGUGCGUGUGUGUGUGUGCACUUGGCAGAUGUGCUUGUUGGCCACAGAGUGUGCACAGAGAAAGAGCUCCUAGAUCAGUAGAGCAUUUUGUAGAGGGAGGGCACUUACUUACUCCUGUUCUAGGCACCUCAGCGUCCCAGUCAGUCCUGCUCUGUGCUGUUGAGUCAUGUGGGCUUUCUGGCAGCCACUUUCCAUAUCUUGUUACUUUUUCACUGGCUUUAUUUUUUAAACCAAGGGAAUUUUUAAAAUGGAAUUACAGAAGCUCAAAUGAAAUCCAUUCAGGGAAACAAAGAAGUGCUCACUUUGUUAGUUGAUGAUUUUGGAUUAGGUGAUGCAAAUGUUGGCAGUAGGGCUGCUGUCUUUGUAUCUCAGAUUUUACACAAAACCAAAACCAAAACAGUUGCGGUGAGAUUCGGCAGCUCUGUAGGCUCAGCUCCUAUCCGGAGCUCAGUCAUCUGUCUGCUUCAGGUGGAUGUACUUCCCUGAACCAAUUGCAGUGUUCAGGGAUGUAGAAGAGUCUAGUCAGUCCUCGGGUCUUUGCCUUUCCCUGACUUGGAGGGAGUGUAAUGAGAUCAGCCCCACUUGGGUCUCAAGGAGUACAUUCAUUACCAAACAGGGUUUCUAAAGAGGGGAAGGAAGGUAAGAGUGCUGGCCAUAUACUAAGUGGCAGAUUCUCUUCAGAGUUAAUUUGGGGGAAGGGGGGAUGGCUCAGUCUGUGAAGUACUUGUUCUGCUGGCACAAGAACCCACGUUUGGUCUCCAGAACCCACAUAAAUAAGCCAUGCAUAGUAGCAUGCAUAUGUAACCCCAAUGCUGGGGAAUUAGAGACAGUUUGAUCCCUGGGGCUCUCUGGCCAGCCAGUAUAGCUUAAUCAGGGAUCUUCAAAUCUGUGAGAAACCCCAUCUUAUACAACAAGGUGGAUGGUACCUGAGAAAUGACACCCAGGGUUGACCUUUGACCUCCACAGGAACACAUGUAUAAACACUUUCAGACAUACAAAUACAUUCACACACACACAACAUAAAAUCAAUCAUUUUAUUUAUUCUCCCCCCCACUGUGUGUUUGUGUGUGUGUCUUAUAUUUUGUCUAUCUAUGUGCAUGUGUGGAGGCCAGAGGUUACUGUCGGGCUUUGUUCUCAAUUGCUCUCCAUCCUUUAUUCUCUCUAAACCCUCCCAUACACCUCUUCUUGCCCUCUUUCAAAUUCAUGGUUUCUCUUUUUCAUUAACUGUCAUUACAAACAUGCAUGCAUAUUUGUAAAUAAAUACGUGCUCAGUCUGUAUAAUGUCACUUGUUUGUCUGUUUUCAGGGCUGCCCAUUUGGGUUUGGAUAGUUGAUUGGUGUGGCCUUCCCUGGGGAAGACUUUCUCCCACUCUUGGCAUUCCUUAGUUGUGUAGUUCUUUGUGUAGGGUUGAGGCGUCAUGAGCUUUCUCCGUCUUUUACUGUCCUUGUUCACCUUAUGUUCAGGUAGUCGUGUUGGGGAGACUUUAUGGGUGUAGCUUUUGACAUUCCUAAGAAACAUAAUCUUACAACAAACUGAAGACACACCCAGCUUUUUAGGUGGGUACUGGGGUCAAACUCAGGUUCUUGUGUGGCAAGCAUUUUGUGUGUGUUUCUUUUUAUUAUUAAUUAACUUUCAUUUUAUAUGAAUUGGUGUUUUUGCCUGCAUUUAUGUAUGCCUGUAUGAAGGUGUUAGAUUUUGGAAUUGUGAGCUGCCAUGUGGAUGCUGGAAUUGAACCUGGGUCCUCUGGAAGAGCAAUCGAUGCUCUAGCCGCUGAACCAUUUCUCCAGCCCUGCAGCAAGCAUUUAAUGAUUGUGCUGAUGUCUAGCAGCCUUGCUGUCUUGUGAUGUGUGCUUUCAUUGUUAGUCAGAUGGUGUCCUGUCACCAAGGCUUCUCGAAAUCUGCCCAUUUUUACCAUCUUUUCCCUUUCCUCACAAAAUAACUCCAGUAUUUGGUUCUACUUGGUGGUGGGAAAUGGUCUUUACGACCACCUGUAACUUGUGUUCGGCUGGCCUCAGGGAGAUAGAUCUUUUGCCAGUGUAAUCCAUCCUGAGAGCAUUUCUUCCCUCUUUCUUCUUUCUGACUGAGUCAUGGAGAAAGCGUUUUUAUCUUCAUCUCGCAGCCAGUAAGGGACAGCUCAGGCUCAGCCUGUGCCAGCAUAACAGGUGGGUUCCGUGGCCAGACCUGUUUCCCAGUGGUUUGGGAUUUUGAUAAGGGGACUGUCACUAUAGCAGUCUCCCCUGGGAAUGUAGUAUAGAGUGCAGGCAAGUUCUCCAUACCCAUUAUGUCUCAUGGCUCCUUCAUUCUCUUCCACUAAGGCUGGUUUAUAAUUUAGGGCUGGGGACUUAGGGUUUGCCUCCUGAGAACGGCAGCCUCGUGUUGUAGGUCUGACUGGAGUGGUUUCCCUUCUGUUCUUCUGCACACUUGCUUUUCCCCUCCCCGUUUCAUUGGUUAGAACCUCCAGCAUUAUGCUGAGCCAGCAGAAACCCUCACCUCUUCAUGAUCUAAGGAAAAGAAUGUUCAGAUUUUCACAAUGGAGUUUUUUGUUUGUUUUGUUUUUUCAGAAAGAAUUUUACUAUACAGACAAGGCUAGCAUUGAACUCCUAGGGAUCCCCCUGCCUCUGCUUCCUGAGUGCUUGAUUAAAGGUGUGCACCACCAUUGCUGACUACAAGUAUGCUAUGAAUUAUAGUCGAAUACUGUAGGAAAGGAUAGGACAGCACGCAGGCUUGAGAAGCAUUUAAAAGUUAGAAUAAGCCAGGCUAGGUGGCUUGUGCUUGUAUCCCCAGCACACUGGAGCUGGGGUAGGAAGAUCUCAUGAGUUUGAUGCCAGAGGGAUUCUAGGCCAGCCUGGGUUACAGAGGGAGAUCUUAAAAAAUUAGGAAAACAAAACCAAAAAACUUUGAAUAAACCAGGAUUUAUCAACUAAUGUAUCUAACUUAAACACUAUAAUUUAUAUGCUUGUAGGCAAGAUGAUUCUUAAGACUCAAGAAAUGGGUUAAAUUAAAGAUUCUUUUUGAGGAGGAGGAGGACUGGCUUUUUACUGUAGACUUCUUUUCCCUCCUGUUGCCACAUGUUAAUUUUAAGUCAGCCCCAACAUUCACAGGUGCUUUUUUUUUUUUUUGUUUUGUUUUCCUUUCUGUAUUCUAAUUUAAGAUGUUCUAUAAAGUGGGGAACAGUGUUGUUACUGUGUGUUAGUAGAGGAAAUUAAGACAUACUGAAAUGCCCUAUAAAAAUCACUGUGUUGGAGACAUGCUUAUCUUUUUAACAUAGUACCUUGUAAGGCUUUGACACGUAGUGUCCUGAAGUCACCCAGCAGAAGGACUCUCUCUGUCCUGUUUACAUCCUAGCCUGGUCCAUCCUAAAGACUUUAGACAAGUUCACAUAAAAGUAACCCAAAGACAGUGUCUUAGAGUUCUGUUCAGCGUUCAGGAAAGACAUGAGAUAGAUUGUAACAAUGGUGGCUGUCACUGGAGUGCUCUGUUAAUCUGUUAGUUUUUGGAAUGUCUUAUAGCCAACUUUCUUGGACCCACCAGUGGUAUAAAUAAGACAUGGAGGCUGCUAAUAAAGUUUAAAGCUUUGGCCUUUUACUGGUGCAGUUUCUCAGUUAACUCAUCUAACUUAACCCAUCUAGCCUGCUAUCUGCCACGGGACUAACUCUAUACCUCUUUGCUUCUGCUCUAUUCUGGUCCGUGACUGUUCCCCUCCAUGUUGGCUUUUGAUUUUCCUUCUUCCUGCAUCACUCCCCUGCCUGGAAGUUCCACCCUCUACUUCCUGCUUCACUAUUGGCCAUCAGGUCUUUGUCAGUGGCGAGACAACCUCUGACACAUUUCUAGAUUGCCUUUAGGCAGGUAAGGAAGGACAAAUAUUUACAACAUAGAAAAUCUGGUGAUAGGCCUUAUAAAUGACAGCACCAGAAUCCUGCCAGCACAUAAUUUUCUGCGGAAUUAACAGUUCAGAAUACGGAGAGGGAUACCUUCACACAGUGUGAAGAAAGGCUAUCCCAGCAGUGUUCCUGAUUAUCUGUUAGUUUGUACAUUAGGCAUUUUUCACUGUCUUUACCUGAGUUGUUGAGUGAAGUUUGGGCAAAUAGAGAAACAAUUAACAUGAACUAUAACCAGAAUUGUUUGCUUUUGGAAACUUGGUUCCAUGGAAGUGUGUGCAGGUGGUGUGUGUCUUUAUCUAUAAUAUAUACUAUAUUUACAUCAUAUAGCUGUGUUAUGUACACAUCUCUCUCUCUCUCUCUCUCUCUCUCUCUCACACACACACACACACACGUGUGUGUGUGUGACUUUUUUCUUUUGGAGGCAAUGCCUUACACUGUAGUUCAAGCAGCCGGGAACUUAUGGCAAUCCACCUGCCUCAACUUUUUUAUUUUUUUUUGGAAGAUAAUUUUAUAAUUAUAUUUAUGUACAGAAAACUUAAGUGUACAUUUAACCCAGCUUAGUGGCGAGUUCUUUAGCCUUUGCCUUUUCCAGCUUGGCAAUGCGAGCCACAGACUUAGAACCCAGGACAUUGCUUCCCCAGUGGCGGUGGAUCUCGUCAUAUCUGUCAUUAUGAUUGGUCCUAAUAGCUUCCACCAGCUUAGCCAGAGCACCCUUGUCUUCUGAGUUAACCUGUGUGAAGGCAACAGUGGUGCAUGUCUUCCUGUGGACCAGGAGCCCCAGCCUGGCCUUUCCCUUGAUGAUGCAGUAGGGCACCCCCAUCUUUCAACAAAGGGCAGGCAGGAAAACCACCAGCUCAAUGGGGUCUACAUCAUGGGCAAUCACCACCAGCUGAGCCUUCUUGUCCUCCACCAAGGUGGUGACUGUAUUGACCCCUGCUCGGAGGACAGGUGGUCUCUCAGUUGGGACGUUCCCUUUGCUAGCAGCUUUCUUCUCAGCGCGGGCCAGCAGCCUCUGCUUCUUCUCUUGCUUUGUCUCUGGCCUGUACUUGUGAGCAAGCUUAGCAGCUGAGUCGCUGUUUGCCUGUCCAGGGCCUGGGUGAACUGUUUGAUGGCAGGAGGUACUGUGAGCUGCUUAUAAAGGAUGGCUCUGCCACUGCAGCCUGAUGUAGCGGGGCCAUUUGACGAAGCACUCGAGAUCUCUUUUGGGCUGGAUGUCCUGCCCAAUGCCGAAGUUCUUAGGCCUUUUCUCAAACAAAGGAUUGACCACCUUUUUGGCCUCUUGUUUCUUGACCACGGCGGGGGCCGGGGCCACCUUCUUCCCCUUGGCCUUCUUUCCUUUGGGCAUCUUGCUCGGCUGGAGGAGAGAGCCUGAUUCAACUUUUAAAGUGCUGAAAUGACAGCUGUUUAUAGCUAGGCCUAUUAUAGGUUUGAACUUAAACCCUGUCUCUAUCAUUUUUUUUUUUUUUUGUUUCUUUUUUUUCGGAGCUGGGGACCGAACCCAGGGCCUUGCGCUUCCUAGGUAAGCGCUCUACCACUGAGCUAAAUCCCCAGCCCCUCUCUAUCAUUUUUAAUGCUAGGCCUGUUAUUUUAUAGUUUCUAAACCUAUUUUUCCCAUGAGAUAAUUUGUUUCAGAAAAUGUGGAAAUAUGAGAGGCCCAAAAGAAAGACAAAAGUAACCCAUACUUCUCCAUUUAGGAAAAAAUGUCUGCAGAAGCGUUCUAGUGAGAAUGUUGGGGACACAGAAGCAGCCUGAUGGUCACUGAUAGGCUUGUUACAUGCACUUCAGUUCACCCACAGAAUGGACGUAGAGUGGGUUAGCCGAGUAGCUUAGCUGUGGACUCUCUAUGCUCACAUCUUUCACCAUUGCUAGUUAGCUGCGUAGCCAUAAUGACCCUGAGAGUGUAGUGCUUGCUCCAUGGGGUGUCCCUGAAUAGUGAGUGUAACGUUUAAUGUGACACUCUGCAAGUGCUUGACAGGUGUUGUUCAAAUUACUAAUUUUAUGUGCUGAUUGGGAAAUAUUUCCAAAUAUAACUUAUGAAGAAAAGAUAGUAAAUAAAAUGCAUAUACACCUAAAAAUAAAGAUUUGCUCUUUCUCUUUUUUGUGUAUAAAGUAUAUCCAUGAGGGUAUUAAAUGGAUAAGCACUUACAUUUGAGGGAUUUCACUGUGGAUUUGGAAAUAGUGAUGAGAGAGAUAAUUUUUAAAAAGAUUUCUUUACUAAUGUAUGCGAGUGCACUGUGGCUGUCUUCAGACACUCCGGAGGAGGGCUUCGGAUCCUAAUACAGAUGGUUGUGAGCCACCAUGUGGUUGCUGGGAAUUGAACUCAGGACCUCUGCAAGAGCAGUCAGUGCUCUUAACCACUGAGCCAUCUCUCCAGCCCCGAGACACAUUUUUUUUUUUUAAAGAAAAACUUGUAAGUGAAUUUUUAAUGAAUGCAUGUAUCUUUUAUAUAUUUUGUUCUAAUGAUAUUUUUCUUAUGCCAGUGUUUUGUUGUUUUUUCUCUUUCUUGCAAAAUCUUAUUGCCUUUGUUUCCACAGUAACUCCCUGAAACCAGCCUUUUGCUGAUAUACUAAAGAUAGAAAUUAUUUUGUGAUAAGUAAACAGAUUACAUAUCUAAAAUUAUUUAAAAAUUUUUACAUUAAAUCAGAGUGUUGUAGUAAAUGUUAGCUUUUAAGAAAUCCUCUUUGGUAUGUAAUUGAGGUCAACCAGGCUUUGAAAGAGAUGAGUGAAUGUUUAGACCCUGAUGAAGACAGAUUGUCCCCAGCAAAUGCCACUCUAGAGUGAUAGCAGAGGCAGUCCCUGUCUCAGAUGAAUUUAGCCAUCUGCACUCAUAGACUGGUUUACUAAUCUGGAGCUCUGGAGUCUUAUAAGGCUAGGCACUCUCCAAAUUCCCGCACACUAUUUACUUCCUUUCUCUAUCCCACACUGUCUUGGGCCGUGGGCUGAGGCUGGGGGUUGGCUUCCACCCUCAGGGAGCCCCACCAGCUGUUCCUUUCUAGCCUAACAUCAGUGAUUACCUGCUUUUGAGGGAAGGAACUAGGAAUUUUGUUCUCUGUUCUUACUUCUCCUUUCAGCUCUUGAGCAUUUUCUAAGCACUCUGUAUUACUGUAUUACUGUAUUACUGUAUUACUGUAUUACUGCGGACUCUUCUGGAAGGGGUUAGCCUAAGUAAGAUGGAGUUCUGGCUUUUGUCAGGCUUUUCUUCCUGUUAGGAGCCAAUUGUAAUUGUAGCCACUAUAGUAGUAUUCACUUACCACAAAAGGAUAGUUCUUUCAAAACAAUCAAAUUAUUUAAUGUGUUUUGAGUGCUUUAGUAUUACUUUAUAUGCAUGAAUGUCUGUGUACCAUGUGCAUGCCUGGGACCUCUAAAGGACUGAGGAGGGCGUUGGGUCCUCUGGAACUGGAGCUAACACAGGGAUGUGAGCCACCAUGUGUGUAGUGGGAAUAAAACCUGGGUCCUCUGCAGUAGCAGCUAGUGCUCUUAACCACCGAGCCAUCUCUUUAGUCCCAGUAAAAUAGUUUUGGAUAGGAAAAUGUCAACACAAUUAGAGAAUAUGUAUUUUUAAUAACUCGUUUUGAAAUAUUUAUACAAAAUAGGGGAUAAAUGGCAUGCACAGAGUCAGUCGUAUCAGUUACUUGGUGUUGCCAAGACAGAAACAAUUGUGGGAAUGUUUUUUCACUCAGCCAUUCAGAGGUUUGAAGUCUGUCAGCAGGAAUGGCGUAGUGAAGUGGCUUAGUCUAAGGUGUUGGAAAUGUGCCAUGGCUGGACCUCCAGAGGCCCGCAUCUAGUGACUUCCUCCCACCAGCAAGACUCUACCCUUUAAAGCUUCAGAAUAGUGCCACAGCUGGGGCUUGGUGUUGAAGGCAGGAGCCUGUGCAGCACAUUUCAGAUUCCCGCCAUUACAGUGAGUCCUCAGCGACUCUGAAGCUAUUACUGAAGGAAAAGACACCAAGGCUGGAGAGAUGGCUCAGUGGUUAAGAGCACUGACUACUCUUCCAGAGGUCCUGAGUUCAAUUCCCAGCAACCACAUGGUAGCUCACAGCCAUCUGUAAUGGGAUCCGAUGCCCUCUUCUGGUGUGCAUGAAGACAGCUACAGUGUUGUACUCAAAUAAAAAGUGAAUAAAUAAAAAAUAUUAAAAAAAAAAAGAGAGUCACCAUGUCAUGCUCGAGAAACCAGACUCUUGAUACUGCACUGAAUGUUUCUCCGCCAUGUUUCUAUCCUUAGCUCUUGCGUACUGCUAUGCCAGAGGAACUUGCUCUGUGAUUUUUCUUAUGCUUCUGCCAAAGAAAAUGUUUAUAGUCAUAGGCCUUCCCUAUGGCUUGAAUCAAGCUCUUUGCAGUUAAAAGAAGGUUUUUCUUCUCUAUUGGUAUGCUGCCACCCUGAUUAAUUUACUCCCUUGUUUGGUCUUGUCUUUUGUAGCCUGCAUUUCCUUGCAUGUAUAGGAUGCAUGGUAUCAGUGGUUUAACAAUAUAAUGACUUCAUCUGUCAAUGAGUGUCAUGCCAAGACAAGCAGAGCCAAGAAGAAUGGAGAAAGAUUUAUUAUCUGCAGCAGGCAAGGAGAACAUGAAAUUUAUUUCCUAAAUUUUGCCUUUGUUGAGCAAAUGUGGAUUUUUUUUUUCUAGAGCCUGUAUGUACUCAUGUAAACCAGGCUUUUAGGGGUGAGUGCAUUCCUGAGCAUGCGCAGUGAAGGAAGGUGUUCUGAGCAUGCUCAGUGAAGGAAGGUGUUCUGAGCAUGCUCAAUGAAGGAAGGUGUUCUGAGCAUGCUCAGUGAAGGAAGGUGUUCUGAGCAUGCUCUUUAGUUAGAGAUCAUAGUUCAAAGACAGCUGUGAUAGUCUUGACUGUCAACUUGAUUGGAUUAAUAGGCCUAGGUAGUUAGUGAAGCACACCUGGGCCAGCCUUGGAGGGCAUCUCUAGAGAAGCGUAGAUCAUGAGGGUUUUGACAUAAUGAGAUUAAUUUUCUUGAUGGAUCCAUAAUAUGAUGGUGUAAUUGGGAGGUGAUGAUAGGAAAUGGGGACUAAUUAGGGGAAAUAGUGCACAGGGAGCCUCCCUGGGGGCUAUGUCUUGCUUUGGCCUCUUCAUGUCUGUUUCUUCUGUUUCCUGUUCACCUUGAAGAAGCUUCUGUGCCAUACACCUCUGCCACCAUGAUGUUUUGCCAACCACAUGGGACCAAAUGAUCAUGUACUGAACUCUUUGAAACUGUAAGCCCAAAUAAAAAUUUCUGGGUACUGCAGAGAUAGCUUGGUUGGUUAAGUUCUAGCCACACAAGCACAAGAAAGUAAACUAGGUCUCCAGCACCAACACACAAAGUUCGAUGGAAGCGGUAUGUACUUUGAAUCCUAGUGCUGGGGAGACAGAGACAGGCAGACUCUUGGGAUUUGCUAGUUGGCCAGCUUAGCAAGCAGACCUGUUCUAGGCCAUUGAGAGACCCUGUUUCAAAAAACAAGGCAGACUACACCUGAAGUUGUCAUAUGGCCUGUUUUCAUGUGCAUUCCUGAGUGUGUCUCCACUCAUGUGCCCUUGUACACACACAUACAUACACAUACACACACAUACGCAUGCACACACAUGCCCACACAUGCCCAUGUGUGCAUAUAGACACAUAAACACACACAUUGGACAUUUGGGGUCCGUGACACAAAACUGACUAGUUCAAUGGUGGCUACAUUUUUGGACGUGCUUAGCCAAUGUCAAUGGAAUACAUAUUGAAGUGUUAAAAUACAGGAUACACUUUUGGGCAUGCUAAACUUUCUUACAAAAUUAUAGCUUAAAAAACGGGAAAAGAAUACUUUGAAAGUGUAUAUAAUAUAGGAGUUUACCCAAAGAUGUCAGCCUUGCUUAGUGGCAAGUAUUUUCUAGACACAUUUCAUUCCUUAUUCUUAAACUGCUUACGGCAGCCAGUGGUCUGCAUCUUCAUAGUAGUUGUGUGAAUCCUGUUAGUGCUGAUACACAAUAGUUGUACUGCCAGGAAUAGUUGGGUGCCCUACCUUGAGUUUUCUCGUGUUUUACUACAGCAUUUUAAAGCAUUAUUUGAUUAUGACAUAAACCACGAAUUAAAUCAGUGAUAUUUCCAGCUCAAAUAGCCCAGAAAAAUAUAGGCUUAAUAUCCUGGGGAAUCUAGUCCAAAACAUAGAUAGCUAAGCAAAGAGGUCAACUAGAAGAAUAAGACACAAAGGAUACUUAUGGUUGUGUCUUAAAAUACAGUUGCAAUAAAUUCAUUUUGGGAUUCUGGCUAAUGUACAAAAGAGUGUAACUAUUCAGAGAGUGAAAAAGCUAGAGAAGUGGAGAGAACAUUGAGAAGGUAGGUCUCCUUCCUUUAGCUUCAGCGUGAACUUUAGUAAUACACGUGGUUUGUAUGUCAUGGUGAUUCUGGUAUGAUGAAUCCAGGCACCUUGUAACUCAAAGGAAGAGUGAACAGUGUAAGGAACAUAAUACCUCUGUCCUCCCAGUUUUUAAACAUACCUAAUCCAUGGUUUAUAGGAUACAGUUAUAAUCCCAUAGGAGAUGGAGGUUAAUAGGCUUAUAUACACCUAUUAAGAGUUGAUAUCAGGGGUUGGGGAUUUAGCUCAGUGGUAGAGCUCUUGCCUAGCAAGCGCAAGGCCCUGGGUUCAAUCCCCAGCUCUGAAAAAAAGAAAAAGGAAAAAAAAAAGAGUUGAUAUCAUCUUCCUCAGUUGAUUAUAUUUUAUUACCUGCUAAUCUGCAUGCUAAGGUGCACUUUCAGAACAUGUUUUCUGUGGAAGGACCUUCCACAUUUUAGGAAGGACCUUUAGCUUCUGUCUGGGAAGCUCUGAUGUGUAGGGCACAGCAACAGAUAGAAGCCACAACCAAGUUCUGUGAGCCUUUCCACAGCUGACCAGUGUAGCCUUUAACGUUAGAACUGGCUCUUACAGUUUAUCGGAUGACAGAGUCUCCAUGCUACAUGUAACUUCAUUAUAUUUCUCACAUGGUGUGUCUGUGUGAUGCAUGUGUCUGUGUGACUCAUGUGGGAGUGUGGAAGUCAGACGACAGGGAACUUUGUGGAAUCAGUUUCUCUCCUUCCACCUUCAUGUGCAGUCCAAGGAUAAAACUCUGGUUACCUGGCCUGAGUAACAAACACUUCGGUAGGCUGAGCCAUCUCUCUGUCCCACCCUACACUAUUCUUAAAACAAGAGGCUAAAACAACUGUUAUUUUAGGCAGAUCUGGGUAAUUCUUUUAAAAGUCCUCUUACAAUUUAAGCUUUUUCUGUUUUGCAAAGGAAAGCUUACAUUUAACCAGCAACAAUAUUGACAAAAACUAAGUGAUAAAUGUGAAGUCUUCUCAGUAGCCUGACUCUAAAUACAUUUGUUGAUAAUUUCCAGGUAGUGUGCUUCUGGUUUGUGUUUCCAUUUCUCUAAUAGAGCUACUGGAUAUUAACUAUCCUUUUGACAGUACACGUAUGGAUCUAUUACUUCGGCUAUGAUGUUCUUUUGAUUUGGGGGUUUUGUUACCCCAAGAAUCUACCUGUAAAGAGUUUCCAUUCCAGGAUGAGUUGGACUGUGGGUAAAUUCAGUGACCACUUUAAGCACGUGUCUUAGUUACUUUCUACUUCUGUGAAGAGACACCAUGACCAAGGCAGCUUGUAAAAGGAAAUGCUUACUGGGGGCCUGUUUCCCAUGUUAGUUCAUGAUCAUCAUGUGGAUAGUAUGGUGGAGGUGGGCAGGAUGGUGCUGGUGCGCUAGCUGAGAGCUUACAUCCUGAUCUGUAGGAUGGAGGGUACAGUACUAGGAAUAGUGUGGGCUUUUGAAACCUCAUAGCUCACCCCCAGUGACACACCUCCUCAAAUAAGGACGUACCUCCUAAUCCUUCCCAAACAGUUCUACCUGGGGACCAAGCAUUCAAACACAGAGCCUGUGGGGACCAUUCACAUUCAAACAACCAUGUUAAUAUAACCCCAGCAUCUUUCUGGGAACCAGGCCUUUGUUGCUUAGGAAUCUGGGUUGUGCAUCAAACAGGAGAUCUUGACCCUGUUAUUACUCAAUUGAAAGAGGGAAUAUAAGGAGUCAGCUUGGCCACUACCUUCUGUCUCUGAAGAGUCUGGACAGCCCCUCUUUCAUUGUCCCCUCUUCAUCAGAAUGCACAAUGAGUUCCUCCAGCUAUACUGGUGGCCAGAGAGUCCCACAUUGGGAAAUAAGGCGUACUCUCUGAAGAUGGCUUCUUCCUUCUGGGACAUCUAAAGUGGACUGGAGGAUGACAGCCCUGAUAGCAACUUGCUUUCUCAUUUCCUUCCAACUCAGUCACAUCUUUGCUGGUCAGACCUUAAAGACAGUCUUCACCAGACGAAAGAAUUUAAGACUCUGGACUCCCAGGCAGCUUUUGGGUUUUCUCUGGCUGUGAUAAACACUGAGAGAAAGUACAUUGCCAGGUUGUCUUGUUCCCAUGCCUCCUUUCUUUCCUUGUGAAGCCUACAGUUCUCACAAUUCCGUUUAGUCAUUUUACUCUCUGGCAGAAUCUUACUCUGUAAUGCAGAAUUCCUUUUCACUAAAAACUUCUCUUCAGUUUUCUUCCAUGAAAAUCAUUCUCAUGUUAACUUCCUUUCCACUUCUUGUCAUUCCUUACAAUUUGUUUCUGCCUCAUUUUGAUUAUUUCUUUAAAUUUAUAUAUAGAAACAAUACUUCAAGGUCUUCAAAUUCAAAACAGAAAACCAUCAGUAAAAGAACAUAUUUCACUUCUCGUGCUUUGAUGUGUUUCUUCUGUUGCUCAUUUCCAGCAUCCUAUGUGAUUAACCAGUGCAGUGAUCUCUUGUGUCAAACUGUGAUUGUAUUAACAGUGAUGGAGUUUGUAAAAUUGGAGAUUUAAAAAGAAGAUAAAUAGAUCAAAUUUUAGAUUGUUUUUUUUUUUUCUUGAGGGAAAUAGGGAUUUUCAUAUCAUAGUUGAGUAGCAUAGGUAACUCCAAGCCCCUUGACUUUGUUCUGUUCUUUCCACUCUGCAGUUUGUGUUAGUAGCUUAUGGAAGUGAGGAUGGAAAGCCUGACUUGUUGUGCUUUGUAUUAGAAGUCAUCAAUAGGAGCAAGAAAAUGGCUGGCAAGAGUAACUGAAGGUGGAGGAUUUUAAGUUAAUUAUGUCAUCUUUUUCGGAUACAUUGAAUUGUAGUUUGGUGAAGAGAGUGGUUUUUGUUGAUGGAGAGUUUGUUCAGGAGGUUGAGAUAGGCCUCUUGUCUGGGAGGCAGACAGCUUAUGUUUGCUGUUACAGUUUAUUUUAAAAUGAUUUAAUUUUUGCAUUAUUACAUCUUAUUAUUACCAAUUUUGCCUUUUAGGGAAAUGACAACAUGUGGAAGUAAGACACAUUGGUAAUAUUUGCAAAGGGCUCUCUGGGGCCCUGGGCAGAGCAGGCUUGGCUGCCUGUCAUGAAUGCCAGAGACAAGUAGUGGUGAGAGGCAUGAGAGGCAUUUUAAUUGGUGUAGGGAUAGGGAAGAAGAGAGAGAGUCUAUGGCCUGAGCUCUGCCCUGAGGAGCUAACAAGGGCUUUGAGGUUCUUAGAGUGUUUAAAAAAAGGCAAGGGUUGUGCUUUGCAUGCAUGUGAUUUGGCUGAGCGGAUAAUCUCAGUUAGGUGGUGGUAUGGUUCAUCAUCAUCUCAAGAGCAUCUCUGAGCUGGGUGGAUGUGGUGGUGCCUGUCUUCAAUCCUAGCCCUCAGGAAACUGAGGCAGGAGUGUUACUGAGAUUGGAGGUCAGUGUGGCAUUUGUAGAGAAACCCCCAAACAAACCAAGGUGUGUGGGGGAAGGCGGGGGAGGGGAGACUUUCUGCAAAGCUCCAGAGAAAUCUUCAUCACUGGAAGGAACAAAUCAGUCCCCAUUGUGAGAAGAUUGUUCCUCUGCCCUGGUUCUGUCAUCAGGAGAAAUGGUUCCAUUAUGGCAGCAGGGUAAUUGCUCCUGCUUAGCCAGACACUGUUAUCAUGCGGUCAUCUGUCUGUGAGACUGUUUCUUGGGGAUAGCUUUGGCCUCUUGUUGUAAAGAUAUUUAUUAAUCAGAUCAGCGGUUCCUGGAAUCCAAGAAAUUGUGGGCAUGAAUGACUCAGUAGAAUUCAGAAGGAAAAAGUUACAGGUAAAAUUGAGUUAGAUGAGGACAAAAUAUAGUUAGGUUAGUGAGUGGACCCCACCUCACAGAGGAAGAGGACUUAUAUCCAUUAUUAAAUAAAGGUGAUCUCUUUUGAAGUAGUUGUCUCAAUUGUUUCUCUCUUUAACAUUUAAACCAGCAAUUGAUGUGUGAUGUUUCUGGUUUCUUGAGUCAGAACUGAGUUCCCUUUCUCAUGUCUCAAAGAAUGAACAUAGAUGGAACCUUAUGCCUUUAAUCCCAGCACUUGGGAGGUGGAGGCUGGUGCUUCUCUGUGACUGAGGCCAGCUUUGACUAGACAAGCAAGUUCCAGGGCAGCCAGGACUGCCCUCAACAACAACAACAACAACAACAACAACAACAACAACAACAACAACAACACCCUAAAUUGAUUAUAUUUCUUUCUGAAGGAUUUUUUUAUCUUUUUCUUUUUCGGAGCUGGGGACUGAACCCAGGGCCUUGCGCUUGCUAGGCAAGCGCUCUACCACUGAGCUAAAUCCCCAACCCCUUUCUGAAGGAUUUUUGUUGUUGUUACUUUAGUUUUGACAAGUGGAUUAGAAAUGUAAGGACUUUUAAGCAUGGUUAAGAAACACUUGCAUUGCCCCCACCCCCACCCCGCUGCUGCGCCUGCUCAGAACCCUAUGGCCCUUCUCGGCAGUGGAGUGCGUGGGGACGCUGCAGCGGCGGGCUGCACCAGCGGUGCAGAGCUGCCUGGUCACCUCCUGGCACCGAGGCGGCGCGGGGAUGUCCAGGGCGCACAGACGGGCGGGCGCGGCGGGCAGAGGGGGAUCCGAGAUGAAGCCAGGCGCCCCUGCCCGCUGUGGUACUCGCGGUCUAAGGCUGCCCGGGGUGCAGGAGCCGGCGCCGUGCAGCGCAGGCACAGGAGGCGCAAUGUCGGUGCUGCUGCUGAAGAUCGGAGUUGUGCUAAGCACCAUGGUCAGGAUCACCAACUGCAUGUUCCAAACACUGCUCUCCCUGAUGGGCCUUAAUACCACCCGGCUCUUGGCCGCCAGCAGCGGGAUGUUGGACCGCAGCCGGUGUGUUGCCCACCAACCCCGAGGUGAGCUGCAGCUCUGCCCAGGACAGUGAGGGCAAGUGUAUCUGCACGGUGGUCACCCCCCAGCAGACCAUGCCAGCACAAAAUAGCAGCUACUGGAAAAGGUGCAAAACAUGUCUCAAUCCAUAGAAGUCUUGGGCAUGCGGACUCAGAGAGUCCUGCAGUAUGUGGAGAAGAUGGAGAACCAGAUGAAAGGCCUGGAGUCCAAGUUCAGGCAGGUUCAGGAGAGCCAUAAGCAGCAUCUGGCCAGGCUAGCUUAAAGAGUUUUUUCAAUGUGCCGCUGACUGAAGAAGCAGCCUCUCUGCCCCCUUGUAACCAUGAGAGAGCCAGAGAGCUUUUUGCACCAUGAAUUUUUACGAUUCUUUUCCAAUCCUUAAUGCCAUUUCACUAAGGAACCUUGAAUCCAACCAGGAUCCUCCUUUUGUGUGUGACUCUAGAUGCAUCCCAAGAAUAGUUUGAACCCUUCUCAAUGCGCUUUUUGAAAAAGAAAAAGAAAAAAGAAAAAAAGAGAGAAAAAACACCCACAAACUGUGUGUGUGACCUAAAGCAUGUGAUGUAACCUUAAGAUUCUCGACUGACAAAUGAAGGCCUCCCCAACCCCGAAAGAGACACUUGCAUUACCUGGACUCUAUUAAAGGACUGGUGGAUAGGACAGGAGUGAAAGGGUUCUCAAAGGUUGUCUUCUGAACUCCACUGACAAUCAGUACUGCCUGUACCUGCCCAACCUCCAGUUUAAAGAAAAAGGCCAAAUGGAGUCCUCAAUUAAAGAGACUUUUUUUUUUUCCUGCAGAGACUACAGAAUUACCCUUUGCCCUCUCCUCAAUCUGUCCUCUGUCUAAAAAGAUUGUGUUCCAUCUCUAGCUUUCAACUCUCACCUCAGGCUGUUUUUGAUGCUCUCUCUUUUGCUCCUAGUUAACUGAGGUGUCCUGUCCUGUCCUGUCCUGUCCUGUCCUGUCCUGUCCUGUCCUGUCCUGUCCUCUCCUCUCCUCUCCUCUCCUCUCCUCUCCUCUCCUCUCCUCUCCUCUCCUCUCCUCUCCUCUCCUCUCCUCUCCUCUCCUCUCCUUUCCUUUCCUUUCCCCCUUUCUCAGUGUGGCCACGAUGAGUAAAUCUUUCUCUGCCUAAGUCUAGCUUUUUGUGGGCUACAAAGGUCCAGGUUUUUAAAUCUUAAAAUUUUGAAAACAUGAUGACUUCUGCUGUUUUUUUUACUACCCUCCUAAUUCUUUUACUAUUAAUGUCUAAAUAUGCACAUUUGUUUUGAUUGAAUGAGCUGGUGUUAGUAUAUGUUACUAUUGACGAAGGUCCACAGAUUACAACAGGGAUUUUUUUUUUAUAUGUAAUGAUAUACCCACUAUUAUGUCACACAGAAUAGUUUUCCUCCCUAUGAUGGUUAGUUUUUUCCUUGUUUGUUUGCUUUUUCAAGUUGAUACAAGCCAGGAUCAUCUGGGAAGAAGAAGCAACCUUAAUUGAGAAAGUAUCUCCAUCAGAUUGCCAUAGGCAAGGUCUGUGGGGUAUUUUCUUAUUGGGGUGGGAGGGACCAACCGGUGAUGGAUGUGUCCCCCCCUUCCCUAUUAUGUAAGGAAGCAGGCGAGCAAACUAGCAAGCAGCACCCUCUUCAAAGUGCUUUUCUCUUCAGGUUAUUUUAGUUAUGGUGAUCACAGCAAUAGAAAGACAACUUCCACUGCCUUUCUCCUCCCCUCCCAGCCCCUAGAGCAGUUGUUUCUACUCUAUACAUAGUUUUGCCUCUUUCAGUAUACCAUAAAGCAGACAUUACAUAACUCAUAACCUUUUCAGACCGUUUACUUUCACUUGAGACUAUUCUUUCAUGAUUGACACCCAUUUCUUUUUACAAAUGAGUAAAUUUAUUAUAUGGGCAUGACAUUCCUUGUUUAUCUAAUCACAAAUUAUCUUGUUUAUCUAAGGCAAAUGGAUGGAACUGGAAAAUAUCAUCCUGAGUGAGGUAACCCAAUCACAGAAAAACACACACGGUAUGCACUCAUUGAUAAGGGAUAUUAGCCCAAAUGCUUGAAUUACCCUAGAUGCACAGAACACAUGAAACUCAAGAAGGAUGAUCAAAAUGCGGAUGCUUCACUCCUUCUCUAAAAGGGGAACAAGAAUACCCUUGGCAGGGAAGAGAGAGGCAAAGAUUAAAACAGAGACAGAAGGAACUCCCAUUCAGAGCCUGCCCCACAUGUGGCCCAUACAUAUACAGCCACCCAAUUAGACAAGAUGGAUGAAGCAAAGAAGUGCAGACGGACAGGAGCCGGAUGUAGAUCGCUCCUGAGAGACACAGCCAGAAUACAGCAAAUACAGAGGCGAAUGCCAGCAGCAAACCACUGAACUGAGAAUAGGACCCCCGUUGAAGGAAUCAGAGAAAGAACUGGAAGAGCUUGAAGGGGCUCGAGACCCCAUAUGUACAACAAUGCCAAGCAACCAGAGCUUCCAGGGACUAAGCCACUAUCCAAAGACUGUACAUGGACUGACCCUGGACUCUGACCUCAUAGGUAGCAAUGAAUAUCCUAGUAAGAGCACCAGUGGAAGGGGAAGCCCUGGGUCCUGCUAAGACUGAACCCCCAGUGAA